AUUGAACGCUGGCGGCAUGCUUUACACAUGCAAGUCGAACGGUAACAGGCCGCAAGGUGCUGACGAGUGGCGAACGGGUGAGUAAUGCAUCGGAACGUGCCCAGUCGUGGGGGAUAACUAUCCGAAAGGAUAGCUAAUACCGCAUACGAUCUGCGGAUGAAAGCGGGGGACCUUCGGGCCUCGCGCGAUUGGAGCGGCCGAUGUCAGAGUAGGUAGUUGGUGGGGUAAAGGCUCACCAAGCCAACGAUCUGUAGCUGGUCUGAGAGGACGACCAGCCACACUGGGACUGAGACACGGCCCAGACUCCUACGGGAGGCAGCAGUGGGGAAUUUGGACAAUGGGCGCAAGCCUGAUCCAGCAAUGCCGCGUACAGGAAGAAGGCCUUCGGGUUGUAAACUGCUUUUGUACGGAACGAAACGGCUCUGGUUAAUACCUGGGGCUAAUGACGGUACCGUAAGAAUAAGCACCGGCUAACUACGUGCCAGCAGCCGCCGUAA
rnacentral:rRNA from 1 species